rnacentral:rRNA from 1 species
UACAUAGGGUCCAAGCGUUAUCCGGAAUCACUGGGCGUAAAGCGUGCGUAGGUGGAUAUUUAAGUGCAAUGCGAAAUCCUGUGGCUCAACCAUAUGGACUGUAUUGCAUACUGGAUGUCUAGAGGAAUGCAGAGGCAAGCGGAAUUACUGGUGUAGCAGUGAAAUGCGUAGAUAUCAGUAGGAACACCAAUGGCGAAGGCAGCUUGCUGGGCAUUUUCUGACGCUAAGGCACGAAAGCGUGGGGAGCGAACAGG